rnacentral:rRNA from 1 species
GACGAACGCUGGCGGCGUGCUUAACACAUGCAAGUCGAACGGAAAGGCCCUGCUUUUGUGGGGUGCUCGAGUGGCGAACGGGUGAGUAACACGUGAGUAACCUGCCCUUGACUUUGGGAUAACUUCAGGAAACUGGGGCUAAUACCGGAUAGGAGCUCCUGCUGCAUGGUGGGGGUUGGAAAGUUUCGGCGGUUGGGGAUGGACUCGCGGCUUAUCAGCUUGUUGGUGGGGUAGUGGCUUACCAAGGCUUUGACGGGUAGCCGGCCUGAGAGGGUGACCGGCCAUAUUGGGACUGAGAUACGGACCAGACUCCUACGGGAGGCAGCAGUGGGGAAUAUUGCACAAUGGGCGGAAGCCUGAUGCAGCAACGCCGCGUGCGGGAUGACGGCCUUCGGGUUGUAAACCGCUUUCGCCUGUGACGAAGCGUGAGUGACGGUAAUGGGUAAAGAAGCACCGGCUAACUACGUG